UACGUAGGUGGCAAGCGUUGUCCGGAAUUAUUGGGCGUACAGAGCUCGUAGGCGGGGGCGUGCGUCUGAGAGGAAAUCUCAAGGCUUAACCUUGGGGCUGUCUCAGAUACGGCGCUUCUUGAGGAUGUGAGAGGAAAGUGGAAUUUCCGGUGUAGCGGUGAAAUGCGUAGAUAUCGGAAGGAACACCAGUGGCGAAGGCGACUUUCUGGCACAUUCCUGACGCUGAGGAGCGAAAGCGUGGGUAGCAAACAGG
rnacentral:misc_RNA from 1 species